UGGAAUCUCGGAUGUCGGAAGCCUCUAGUAGGGUAGAAUCAUGUUUUUAUAAAAUGUUUUAAGGUAUUUCAUGGUUUUAAGUAAAAUAGAAAUGAGUUUUUGCAUAAAAACAACCUUGAAGGAAAACCCAGGUUCGGCCAUCGAACCUCAAGUUCGGCCGCCGAACAUGUAUGCCUUCGGGAGCGCCUUUAGGCCCCCGAAAGCAUAAGUGAGGAAAGUCCAGGUUCGGCCGCCGAACCUCAAGUUCGGCCGCCGAACCUCAAGUUCGGCCGCCGAACCUCAAGUUCGGCCGCCGAACCUCAAGUUCGGCCGCCGAACCUCAAGUUCGGCCGCCGAACCUCAAGUUCGGCCGCCGAACCUCAAGUUCGGCCGCCGAACAUGGCAUGCAUGCGGA
rnacentral:lncRNA from 1 species